rnacentral:rRNA from 16 species
UCAAAGCAAGCCUACGCUCUGAAUACAUUAGCAUGGAAUAACGCGAUAGGAGUCUGGUCCUGUUCCGUUGGCCUUCGGGACCGGAGUAAUGAUUAAUAGGGACUGUCGGGGGCAUUCGUAUUUCAUUGUCAGAGGUGAAAUUCUUGGAUUUAUGGAAGACGAACCACUGCGAAAGCAUUUGCCAAGGAUGUUUUCAUUAAUCAAGAACGAAAGUUGGGGG